UGGGGAAUAUUGCACAAUGGGCGCAAGCCUGAUGCAGCCAUGCCGCGUGUGUGAAGAAGGCCUUCGGGUUGUAAAGCACUUUCAGCGGGGAGGAAGGCGUUAAGGUUAAUAACCUUGGCGAUUGACGUUACCCGCAGAAGAAGCACCGGCUAACUCCGUGCCAGCAGCCGCGGUAAUACGGAGGGUGCAAGCGUUAAUCGGAAUUACUGGGCGUAAAGCGCACGCAGGCGGUCUGUCAAGUCGGAUGUGAAAUCCCCGGGCUCAACCUGGGAACUGCAUUCGAAACUGGCAGGCUAGAGUCUUGUAGAGGGGGGUAGAAUUCCAGGUGUAGCGGUGAAGUGCGUAGAGAUCUGGAGGAAUACCGGUGGCGAAGGCGGCCCCCUGGACAAAGACUGACGCUCAGGUGCGAAAGCGUGGGGAGCAAACAGG
rnacentral:rRNA from 1 species